AACGAACGCUGGCGGCAUGCCUAACACAUGCAAGUCGAACGAGACCUUCGGGUCUAGUGGCGCACGGGUGCGUAACGCGUGGGAACCUGCCCUUAGGUUCGGAAUAACUCCCCGAAAGGGGUGCUAAUACCGGAUAAUGUCUUCGGACCAAAGAUUUAUCGCCUUUGGAUGGGCCCGCGUUGGAUUAGCUAGUUGGUAGGGUAAAAGCCUACCAAGGCGACGAUCCAUAGCUGGUCUGAGAGGAUGAUCAGCCACACUGGGACUGAGACACGGCCCAGACUCCUCCGGGGGGGGGAGGUGGGGAAAAUUUGGGAAAGGGCGAGAGCGCGUGCCCCCGCUGCCCCGUGAGUGUGGAAGGGGUUUGGGUUGUAAAGCGCUUUUUCCCCGGAGGUUAAAAAGAGGACCGGGAGAAAAAACUCCGCGGAAAUCCCU
rnacentral:rRNA from 1 species